rnacentral:lncRNA from 1 species
AGACAUGCCAGUAGAACUCUAAAGGCAGAAUGUCCUUCCACCUGUUUUAUGCUGUAAGACAGACUUCCAAGUGCGAGGCGGUGUGGAGGGCUGUUUCCUUGAAUGGCAGCUGAAUGCACCAGCAGGAUCCCUGGCAGCAAUGCCCAGGCACUGAAGCUGGGCAUUCAGGAGAACUAAAUGGAGAAAAGAAACUUGAGCAAACCACUUCCUGGAACACUGAGAACCUAAAUGGGAAAUUAAGAAGUACCAGAUUCUCUGUACUCUCAUACCAGCCAAGGUCAGAUUUCUAAGCUCCUAUCUAUUCUAAUCUUCCCCCCCAAAAAGUGCUAUGACAAUUUGUGAAGGUAAUAAAAGUUACCUUUUUUUUUUUUUUCCUUUUAGAAAAUAGUGUUGGUUACUGCUUUAUUAUGCUCUUACUGGAGAAUUUUUCCCGCAUCCCAAACAACUUUGUACCACAAAAGACUUUGACCUAGGGAGACAAGUGGCUUCUUCUACAUCUCAAAGGGACAGCUCCUUAGGUAAAAGGCGUUGGAUAUUCCAGUUUGCUUGUUGAACAUUCUCCCAAGAUAAUCACAUUAACAGAAAGCUGGGGGGCGAAAGUCUGGCCUCUGCCUGCUCAUCAGACAAAAAUCUUACCACUCAGCAGGACACCUACACAGGGAGAAUUUGGCGCAGGAAUAGCUGCCACAGUUAAGUACUCAUUAGCAGUCAUGAGGAUAAAUUGAUAGCAAAAGACCUAGAACUCACAGGCUUGUGUUAAUUUGGUGCUAUCUGCCUGCCAUCCGCAACACUAUUUUCAAACUUAGAAGCCUAGCAGUUUCAGAAAGUAAUAACCACAGUCCCAGGGAACAGGGAAAAAUUCCUCCAGCUACUUUCAGUUUUUCAGGAAGCUUGAAAGUAAUUGUUUACUUAAAAUAAAGCCUCAGGGAUGACUUAGUUAGGGGAAAAAAAAAUCUUGAUUCCUUGAUUUCCUUUUGGGAAGGUAAAUUCAUUGUGCUUGCAAAAUCUUUCAAAGCAGGGAUUGUGCAGGGGAAAUCAUAUUAAAAGGGGUUUUCAGUGGGGAAGAGUUUAGCAAACACUGUCCGACAGAAAACUGUUUUAGGGAGGUAACUUUUCAAAUUGUUUCCAUAAACAUUUCACCAACAGUGGCUUACUUCCCAUUCUGCUGUGCAUCUAAUUCAAUCAAAGUACUGAAGACUUACAAAGCUUGUUGGAGGAGUGGCUGUGGGAAAUUCCAGAGCUGCUACCGCCUGUGGAGACUUCCUUUGCUGAGUGUCUCAGAUCUCAGACACUCAGAUCCAGAUCCCACGGCCUUACUUGCCAGAGCUGCAAAGAAAUGAUAGAAAUUCUGUAGAAGUAGACCUUGCUGCAGCCAGGGAGCCUUCUCACAAAGUUAGGGAUUCUUCAAAGAGGUUUUACCAAAGCAGAGGCACAGCAUGCAUACCGACUUCCGCAGAUUCAAGAAAUGUAGGCAACGACAUUUCUUAUUUGCUUUCCUCUCAUUUGAUCAGCAAGAACAAAAUCAGUUGUUUUCAAUUGGCACAAAAGUGUAUUUAUUCAUUAACUCAUCAGGCGGUGCUCACGUACCUAUCAUGUGCCGGGCUCUGUGCUAAGUGCUGGGGAUACAAAGAUGAAUGAGACUCGUGGUGCCACAAGCAGGGUUGUCAAAAACCGACCUCAUUCUGCGUUGCUUGGACAGGCCAGCUGGGACUUGGGCUUCUCAUUUCGCACAGAAGGGAUUGCACCCAAAUUUCUCACGGGACCGGUUUCUGCUUUCCAUAAAACCAAGGUCUUCAGGUGCUGGAUAACUGAUUCUCCUAGUAUCUAGUUAGACCUAGUAUCUAACCGCAAACUGGAUGAUAUCCAAGAAGUUCGAUUAUUCCCCCCCAUCUAGGUCAUUCCCACUCUUGCCCUAAAUGCAGCAAGGGGACAAAAUCCCUUCCUUGGAAUGUCCACCCAUGGUGUGUCCAGCAGAGAAUCUUGGCCCAUCUCUUCUGUUUUCUUGUUCAUUUUUGCUUUGUAAAUUUCCCCAGUAAAGCCUAGAAGAUUUCAGGGAAUUCAUUGCAAACCUUGUUGCAUGACAGGCGAUGAGCAUGAAAGCAUCUGUCUUAUAGAACAAUGCUUCCCAGCUUCUGUAAUACUACUCAGCACAAUGCUGAAAUCACCUGUUCCAGAACAAAUCCUGUCCUUUGACAUGAAGGAUUUAAUUUUCAGUUCUGGUGGGAUCUGGCCAAGGGACGGAGUUGGGAAACACUUCAGGGGGUCAGCACUCCUUCCCGGCAGAGGACUGAGGAGUUUGUGCCAUGGAACUCCAGGGUUCCUUCUCUAACAGUUCAGCUCCCAUAGACCAUGCCUGUGGGACUAAGCCUCCCACAACCACUGAUCACAUACAUGUUUUUUUCAUGUGUUCAUUAGUUUACACACUUAAUCAGAGCUGUUUUUUUUUCAACGUUUAUUUAUUUUUCGGACAGAGAGAGACAGAGCAUGAACGGGGGAGGGGCAGAGAGAGGAGACACAGAAUCGGAAACAGGCUCCAGGCUCCGAGCCAUCAGCCCAGAGCCUGACGCGGGGCUCGAACUCACGGACCGCGAUAUCGUGACCCUGGCUGAAGUCAGACGCUUAACUGCGCCACCCAGGCGCCCCUAUCAGAGCUGUUUUAAGACUUAAGAAAGAUGAUGGACUGGAAAGGGACUUGAAAGACUAUAAAGCUCUAUCCAAGUAACAUUAUUUGGAUAUCAAAGGGAUAAUUACCAUAAGUUAUCAGUUCCAUUUUUUUGUUGUUUGUUUUUAAGCUAAGAACUUAUUCCCCCGUGAAGGCUUGUUAUAAAGCUCAGAAUAAAAUACAUGUAUGUUAACCUGCUUCAGCUGAAGUGAGUUGGAGGGGUGAGACUCCAAGGAUUCAGAGGAACACUGAAAAAUACUGUAGGAGUGGCACCGCACUGGGCUCUGCACUGACAGUGUAGAGCCUGCUUGGGAUUUCUCUCUUCCUCUCUCUCUGCCCCUCCCGGCUUGCUCUCUCUCCCUCUCUGUCAAAAUACAUACAUACAUACAUAAACAAACAAACAAACAAAAAAGAAACUCCCUGCGAUUUCUGCCAAAAGGGUAAAAGAAUUUAGAAGUUUCUUUAAAAAAAUAAAUCUCAGCUGUUCUGCAGCUUGGCCAUGAUGGUGAAUACACAAGCCUACACAUGAGAUAAAAUUGCAUAAAAAAAUAUGCUCACACACAAAGGAGUACAUGUAAAACUGGUGAAAUCUGAAUAAGAUCCAUGGAAUGUAUCAAUGACAGUUUUCUGGUUGUGAUAUUGUAUUAUAGCUUUGUAAGAUGUUGCAACCGGAGAAAACUGGCUGAAGGGUACACCAGGGCUCCCUGUAUCAGUUCUUCCAACUGCAGGUGGUUCUACAAUUAUCUGAAAAUAAAAAAUUUUAUCAUAAAUAAAUAAAUAAAUAAGUCCAUGGCACGAAUUUCUCAUCCUGUCAUUUCCCUCCUUCUGAAAUCACAGAAUGGUCAGACAAAAUGGUCAAACAAAAACUUACGUCUGACCUGCAGCUGAGCCUCUUUGGUGUUCAUAUUGCUCGGCAUAGGCAGGUGUAUCAGGGAACCUUCAGGUUUAAGUAAUAGAAAAUGAUAACCCAACUGACUUAAGCGACAAGGAAUAUGCAGUACGUUACAUAAUACGUCUUGAGUAGGGUAGUCCCAAGGUCACUUGGAUUCAGUAGCUCACCAUCAUUAAUCAAAGACCUACAUUCUUUCCAUCUUUCUACCCUACCAUCUGUAACAUGUUAAUUUAGUCCUUAGGCAAGCUUCGUUAGCAAAUGGCUGCAAUCCUACCAUGCCGUAUCAUUUUCAUAAGUUUCAAUUUAAGAGCAAGGAAACGUUUGUGGAUCUUUCUGCCACUUGCUACCCACUUAUUUUUAUUUUUAUUGGCCAGGAUCAAGUCACAAGCACUUCCCUACAUGAAUCACUGGCCAAGGGGAUAGUUUCACCAUUAUCCUUAGAUAGAGUCCCUGGGGGUGGGAGAUGCUUAUAGCUAACAAAAAUCCACACAUCCGCACUCCUCCAGUGAGUAAGAGACAGGGGUGGACCGGAGAUGGAUGGGCAACCCAUUACCAAGGAGCCACAAUGAUGUGGGGUGAGAGUUAUUCUAGAAGAUUUCCAGGCAUAUCUUUCAAUAGUGCAGCCAUUGAAUCCCCUAGAAAAUUUUGAGUCAAGCUCAGAAGAUGAUGAAGAUGAAGCAGGUACCAGAGCACCUAGAACAACUGGAAGGAACAUAAUUUUACUGCCAAUUCCUGAUCCCACACCAAGGAGAACAAUGAGUCCAGCUUCCCAUGGAAGCCUGGGGAACUCAGAACUAGGAGGUAAGCAAGGGAAAGAGGCUGCCUUAACAGAAACCCAGAGAAUCAAGCUCCUCCCAGGAACUGGCAGGGCUGAACUUGUUGUUAAAGAUCCUGUCCUGGGUUUAAAGGUGAGCAUUUUUUUUUUUUUGCUUUGUUUUGUUUUGCUUGAGUGAGGGUAGAUUUAAGGUAAAAUGAUGUAGGGGCGCCUGGGUGGCUCAGUCGGUUGAGCGUCCGGCUUCGGCUCAGGUCAUGAUCUCACCGUUUGUGAGUUCAAGCCCCACGUCUGGCUCUGUACUGACAGCUCAGAGCCUGGAGCCUGCUUCAGAUUCUGUGUGCCCCUCUCUCUCUGCCCCACCCCUGCUUGUGCUCUGCCUCUCUCUCUUUCAAAAAAAAAAAAUGAAUAAACAUAAAAAAAAAUUUUAAGUAAAAUGAUGUGGAAGGGUUAUUUUUUUAAUAAAAUAAUUAAAAUUUUUUUUAAUGUUUAUUCACUUUUUGAGAGACAGAGACAGAGUGUGAGCAGGGCAGGGGCAGAGAGAGAGAGAGAGGGAGACACAGAAUCCUAAGCAGGGUCCAGGCUCUGUGCUAAUAGCAGAGAGCCCAACGCGGGGCUUGUACCCACAACCUGUGAGAUCAUGACCUGAGCUGAAGUUGGACACUUAACCGACUGAGCCAUCCCAGGCGCCCCACAUAAUAAAACAAUUUUAAAAGUGAGGAAAUGCAACAGUUGCCUUUCAGAUUAUUUAUUUCCCAGUCAUCAGAGAUUUCUUUUUUAUUUACCCCAAAUUUCUGACUUACAAGCCUAGCACCUAGUGCAGUAUUUGUCAUUGAUUCCUUGCUUGAUUGUGUAAGAUAAAAUGCCUUGGAA